AUUGAACGCUGGCGGCAUGCUUUACACAUGCAAGUCGAACGGUAACAGGCCUUCGGGUUCUGCCGAGUGGCGAACGGGUGAGUAAUGCAUCGGAACGUACCCAGAGUUGGGGGAUAGCGCAGCGUAAGCUGUGCUAAUACCGCAUGUGAUCUGAGGAUGAAAGCGGGGGACCGCGCAGCAAUGUUUGGCCUCGCGCCUUUGGUGCGGCCGAUGUCGGAUUAGCUAGUUGGUGGGGUAAUGGCCUACCAAGGCGACGAUCCGUAGCUGGUCUGAGAGGACGACCAGCCACACUGGGACUUGGACACGGCACAGACUCCUACGAUAGGCAGCAGUGUGGAAUUUUGGACAAUGGGCGCAAGCCUGAUCCAGCAAGGCCGCGUGAGGGCAGGAGGCCUUCGGGUUGGAAACCGCGUUUGGAAGGAAAGAAAAGGUGUCCGCUAAUAUCAGGCGCGAAUGACGGUACCGGUAGAAAAAGCAAUGGCUAACUUCGUG
rnacentral:rRNA from 1 species